rnacentral:rRNA from 1 species
AACAAACGCUGGCGGCGUGCCUAAUACAUGCAAGUCGAACGAGGAAAGCUUUCGGGUGAGUACUAGUGGCGCACGGGUGAGGAAUACAUGGGUAAUCUGCCCUCGAGUUGGGGAUAACCAGUCGAAAGAUUGGCUAAUACCGGAUAAGACCACAGGAACUGAGGUUCUAGGGGUUAAAGGUUUUUCGCUUGAGGAUGAGCCCAUGUGGGAUUAGCUAGUUGGUGAGGUAAUGGCUCACCAAGGCGACGAUCCCUAACUGGUCUUAGAGGAUGAUCAGUCACACUGGAACUGAGACACGGUCCAGACUCCUACGGGAGGCAGCAGUAGGGAAUAUUGCACAAUGGAGGAAACUCUGAUGCAGCGACGCCGCGUGAGUGAUGAAGGCCUUCGGGUCGUAAAGCUCUGUCGUAUGGGACUAACACAAUGAAGGUACCAUGCAAGAAAGGAUCGGCUAACUUCGUGCCAGCCGCCGCAGUAAUAC